rnacentral:rRNA from 1 species
GACGAACGCUGGCGGCGUGCUUAACACAUGCAAGUCGAACGGAAAGGCCCUGCUUUUGUGGGGUGCUCGAGUGGCGAACGGGUGAGUAACACGUGAGUAACCUGCCCUUGACUUUGGGAUAACUUCAGGAAACUGGGGCUAAUACCGGAUAGGAGCUCCUGCUGCAUCGUGGGGGUUGGAAAGUUUCGGCGGUUGGGGAUGGACUCGCGGCUUAUCAGCUUGUUGGUGGGGUAGUGGCUUACCAAGGCUUUGACGGGUAGCCGGCCUGAGAGGGUGACCGGCACAAUGGGACCGGGGUACCGGCCAGGCCCCCACCGGGGGCAAGAAGGGGGAAUUAUUGACCAUGGGGGGAAGGCCGGAUGAGCAACGGCCGGGGCGGGAAGGCCGCCUUCGGGGUUGAAACCGGCUUUGGCUGGUGCGGAGGCGGAGGUACGGUAAUUGGUUAAGAAGCACCGGCUAACUACGUG